GAUAAUGGCUGUUGACAUGAUGAUGCAAGCUCGCCAGGCCCAGUGUUUUAAACCAAUGUUAAGCUUGGUUUAGCCACUGCAGUAUACAGGUAUAAGGAGAGAAGCAGACCAGAAACCUUUGGCUAAAGUAAAGAUGAUAUGCAUAACAAAAGCAGUUGAAUAAUUCACAAGAGUCCAAAGUUUUGAUGACCAUACAGAGCUCAGAGAUGUUGUAACAAAGACAUGCCUGCAUUAAGAGAACUGUUCACUCAAUUUUCAGAAUAACUUGUCGCAUUGAAAUCCAUCUUAUGUUGGACUAAACAAUCAGGACAUCCUUCUGGAUCACAGGUAGCACAAAGUAUUGACAAAACCAAAGAUUACCUGGUAGUCUGCAAAUGGAGUGAUCAUUGGAUGAGCCAGACAACACCAUUUCCUCGGAAAUUUUAGAAAAGAGACAAUCUCCAUCUUCAGUCAUAGAUGACUGAUGUCGACAUUUUCUCACUUCUGUUUCAUGUCUUUUCUACAGCAUGGACUCCAGCAUCAGUGGGCGCUUGACUUUUAUAGACAUUUAUUCUUCUGAUUUUGAUCUAAUAUCCUUAAAUAUAGUACAAACAAUUCAUUUAUCUUUUAAAAUAUUUUUAAAUUUUACUUAAUAAAACAAUGAAAACAGUUCAAACAAACUGGUUAUCCUAUAAUCUAAAACUGUUUUAUGUU